GGUUCGAUCCUGGCUCAGGUGAACGCUGGCGGGAUGCUUUACAUGCAAGUCGGGCGCGGCAGCACGGACUUCGGUCUGGCGAGUGGCGAACGGGUGAGUAAUGUAUCGGAACGUGCCUAGUAGCGGGGGAUAACCGCGAAAGCGUAGCUAAUACCGCAUACGCCCUUCGGGGGAAAGCGGGGACCUUCGGGCCUCGCACUAUUAAGAGCGGCCGAUAUCGGAUUAGCUAGUUGGUGGGGUAACGGCUCACCAAGGCGACGAUCCGUAGCUGAACUGAGAAGGACGACCAACCACACUGGGACUGAGACGGCCAGACUCCUGCAGGAGGCAGCAGUGGGGAAUUUUGGACAAUGGGGAAACCCUGAUCCAGCCAUCCCGCGUGUGCGAUGAAGGCCUUCGGGUUGUAAAGCAUUUUUGGCGGGAAAAGAAACGGCACGGGAUAAUGCCCCGUGCACAGCUGACGGUACCUGCAGAAUAAGCACCGGCUAACUACGUGCCAGCAGCCGCGGUAAUACGUAGGGUGCAAGCGUUAAUCGGAAUUACUGGGCGUAAAGCG
rnacentral:misc_RNA from 1 species